AUUGAACGCUGGCGGCAUGCCUUACACAUGCAAGUCGAACGGUAACGGGCCUUCGGGUGCCGACGAGUGGCGAACGGGUGAGUAAUACAUCGGAACGUGCCCGAUCGUGGGGGAUAACGAGGCGAAAGCUUUGCUAAUACCACAUACGAUCUACGGAUGAAAGCAGGGGACCGCAAGGCCUUGCGCGGACGGAGCGGCCGAUGGCAGAUUAGGUAGUUGGUGGGAUAAAAGCUUACCAAGCCGACGAUCUGUAGCUGGUCUGAGAGGAUGAUCAGCCACACUGGGACUGAGACACGGCCCAGACUCCUACGGGAGGCAGCAGUGGGGAAUUUUGGACAAUGGGCGCAAGCCUGAUCCAGCCAUGCCGCGUGCAGGAUGAAGGCCUUCGGGUUGUAAACUGCUUUUGUACGGAACGAAAAGCCUUCUUUUAAUACAGGAGGGUCAUGACGGUACCGUAAGAAUAAGCACCGGCUAACUACGUG
rnacentral:rRNA from 1 species